UGGGGGAUUUUCCGCAAUGGGCGAAAGCCUGACGGAGCAAUGCCGCGUGGAGGUGGAAGGCCUACGGGUCGUCAACUUCUUUUCUCGGAGAAGAAACAAUGACGGUAUCUGAGAAAUAAGCAUCGGCUAACUCUGUUCCAG
rnacentral:rRNA from 1 species